CAGCUCACCGGGGGAACACAGCUGCAGGCGGGCUGCAGCCUCAGCCCUGAGCUCUGGGGUUGGGGACGAGUUGGGGAGCAGCACAGAACUGGAAGGACGGCCAUUGGGGAGUCCCACGACAACCUUUGCUCGCUGGAGGUGCCACAACGAUCCCAACAACAAAUGGGACAGAGGGGAACCAGGACAUGUCGAUAAACUGGCUUUUAAAUUAACAGAUGUGGCAAAGCCACUGAUGGUAACUUUGUGGUUACGGAUAUUAGGAACUCUUGGCUCUCAAAGUUUCUGGAAGAAGACAAGAAGUUAACAGUUCAGCUCAAUAUAUAAACAGAGAUAUAUGGAAUCCAAGACAGAAAUGAGGUGCUUACUCACUUUUAAAUCUUUAGUCCAGGAAAUAGGGGAAUGACAGCAUCUACUUAUUGACCUGAAGUGAAAGCCCAGAAGAAGAGACCAGACAGAGCUUGCUUCAGCUAAAAUUAAUGUUAAAUGCUCACCGUUUGUUGUGGGCAUUUUGUCAUACAGACGUCGGGCAAACUUCACAAACCUCACUUCAUCCUGCCAUGCCUUAAGGACCUUGUUUUGCCACUGGAUGCCAAGAGGCAUUGUUGGGGGUGCUCAGCAGCCUCUGCUGCUGCAGCUGCAGCGAGCGGCUCACUGCUCUGCUUGAGAUGCCUUCUGCAGAGGUGCCAGGCCACAGCCACCUGCACUGGUAAAGCUGAGUGCAAACCAGUGCACUGGAGAGAGGACGAGCUGUGGGAGAGGAGCAGCAGGAUGCUCAUGAGCAGCUCUGACACACCGGUGUUUUGCAACAAGAAAUGAACGCUGCGUGUAUAGGCCACUUACAGUAAUGGGAAUGGGAGUUCUGAGAGGAUAUCUUGAGUUCAAUCAAUUAGUUUCCCUCCCAAGGCACAAAUAGAUGCAAAUUUUACUCAUUUACAUUUCUCCUGCUGACAUAUUUCCUGGUGUUAAUCCAAGUUCUUUCGCUUAUGUGCCCAUGUUUCUUCUUUUAAUGCCGCAGUCCUGUAGUUACUGUCUCUCUUCCUCUCUUCCCCCGUAUUUUCUGCACUCCCAGAUGGCCUGGUUUGCUUUUUCACCUCUCCACUUUUCCCACCCCCUGUUGCAGACAGUAAAAACAACAGAAUAAAAAAUUAAAGGGGUGCACAGCCCAGCACUCGGGGAAGGCAAAUCUCUGUCCCUUGAGGCUGACAGAAGCUGAACACACUGGCUGGGUGGGAUAGAUACACAGUGUGUGCCCAUGGCCUUUCGAAACAUAUUCUUUAAGUGCAUUUUGGGCAACAAACGUAAGCUGUGCUUUUUAAGCCUGAAUCUGUCCGCAGGAUAACGUUAUGUGGAUGAACAGGGCACAUGAAUGGCAGGAGAUGGUUUGACCUUAGAGGUGGUUUCCUCUGCCAGCUCUGAGACUGUGUGAUCUCAGAAAACUGUCACUGUGUCACCCGCUCUCUCAAGAUGAAAUAAAUGGCCUUACCCUUGCUGUCACUGAAGUCACGUGCAACUUCUGAUUUCCUGAAAGGAGCAAACCACAAGUUUUAUGAGUUAUUCUAAGGAUUCUGAAAUGCAAUAGGAAGAGAGGAAGCCUGUCUUCCACUUCGGCUCUACUUCCAACUCAGAUUCCUCCUUUAGAUCACGCUAAGGAGAGGAUGCACAGUGCAGCAAAGAUAAGUCGGUGUGCUGCACAGGACUGCCACCUGAGCCGGAAACGGUACAAAAGUGGUGAAACUGAAACCGUGACUGUAAACAUGUCCUGCUCCAAACUGCACAAGAGGAAAGCAGAGAAUGUCUGUCUGCCUGCAGAGCCAAGGGAACAAGCUUGUAGGCUGACUGCUUCUUCCCAGCUUCUCCCUUUACCUUUUGGUUCUGCUUAGGCAUCUCUUGUCUCCAUGAGUCCCCUCUCCUCGUGCAGCAGCACACAGAUCCCCAUCACAGAGCACGCAGUUGCCGAGUGUGACCUUACUCCUGUUCGUGUACCUCUCCAAAACGCACAGGAAGAAGAAAACUGCUAUUAAUAAUCCUCUAGUCUGACCUUUACAUUUUCUUGGUAUAUUACAUCUCAGGGGUGUGCUCAUCACAAGGAUGAACUCGCCGUCACAGAGGAAAAGACAUUACAGCGGUGGAGACAGAAAGUGAGUCAUGUGGGCAUCUUCAGCACAAUGUGAGGUUGAUUAAUUUCUGCAACACACAACUGCUUCUGAAUCUUGGGUUCACAGUCAUGUUUAAAGUGAACUUAUCCUCCAGGUAAUGAUUUAAUUUGUACACUUAUUAAUUAUUGUAACAGCCAGGCAGCAUGGUAUUGAUCAGGUGCAACGUAUGCUGCAUAGGCAACACAAUUAAUAGAAAGAAGUCGAUGUUCUCUCCCUGUGCUCCAGGAACAGACCCACUGACCUCCCUGAGCACAGCAUGAAGGACUGGAGAGGAAAGGACCUGACCACGAGGUCCUGGGCCUGGCCUAGGUGAGACAGAAAUAUACUCAUUGCAGUACCUGGCAUCCUUCUUAAUGGACACAGGCGCACAGUGUCUUCUGACGGAGUAGGUGCCAAUCUCUCUAGGGCUGUGAAGCAUUUGUUCGUGACCCUGCCUGAGCCCAGACUCACAGAUCAUUUAAACACGUUUCCUGAACUUGGUUCUGGCAUCCCUGCUUGCCAUCUCUGACUGUUCCUGGAAGCACGUGGGGUGCAGGGUGCCAGCGAGGUGCUUGGCAGAGCAGCUGUGGGAUGGGGCUGAGGGCUGUGAGCUGCUCAGUGCUGCCUCCCUGCAGAGUCCGUGUCAAUCAGUUGGGUUAAAACCCAAGACUGGCAAAAACCUCAUGAGUGGCAAGAUACAAAUAGAUGUUGGAGCUGGCUGGCACACCUGGCCAGCAGUAUCCUGCAGCUCCCACGGCUGAUGCAGCAAUCCCCUCGCUAGGGAUGGAGACUGGUGCUGCAGUAUGUGACCUGCUCAGCCCUGGGUGUUGCAGAAACAAGGAAGCGAGCAGCUCGUAAUGGGUGUGUUCUGCUCACAGAGACUCUCAGCUUUGCAGAGAUUUCCAUCAAGAUGUCCAACUUACGAGAAAGCUCUGAAAGUGAGAUUUCAGCAAUAAGCAUGCAGGCUGUUAGCAGGG
ensembl:lncRNA